AUGAACGCUAGCUACAGGCUUAACACAUGCAAGUCAGGGGCAGCAGAUCGAUAGCUUGCUAUUGAUGCUGGCGACCGGCGCACGGGUGAGUAACGCGUAUCCAACUUCCCCAUAGUAGAGGAUAGCCCGGCGAAAGUCGAAUUAAUACUCUAUGUUGUAUAAUGAGGACAUCUGAAUUAUACCAAAGAUUCAUCGCUAUGGGAUGGGGAUGCGUCUGAUUAGCUUGUCGGCGGGGUAACGGCCCACCGAGGCAACGAUCAGUAGGGGUUCUGAGAGGAAGGUCCCCCACAUUGGUACUGAGACACGGACCAAACUCCUACGGGAGGCAGCAGUGAGGAAUAUUGGUCAAUGGGCGCGAGCCUGAACCAGCCAAGUAGCGUGCAAGGAUGACUGCCCUAUGGGUUGUAAACUGCUUUUAUGCGGGAAUAAAGUCAGGUACGUGUACCUGUUUGUAUGUACCGCAUGAAUAAGGACCGGCUAAUUCCGUGCCAGCCGCAGC
rnacentral:rRNA from 1 species